ACAUAUUUUCGGGGAGAGAUUAAAUAUCCAGCACGCAACCGCACUGUUGCCAGAUUUACUUCUUUUCUUUUAGCGGGAAUUUUAAAAUAUCUAAUGUCAGUUGGUUUAAAAUUUGACAGUUGUAUUUUUUUGAUUCCGAAUCUUAACCUUACUUUACAGGUGAUUUGAUUAUGUACAAAGUAAAUAAAUUGAACCAAGUAAUGUACUAAAAUAUGCUAUGUUAUAAUUUAAAACUCGUUAUGUUAGUCUUUUGAAAAGAAUUAAACUCAAAAGAGAUAUACUUGUUUACAGUGCAAAUUAAUGGCAAUAAUAGGGAUUUACGAUUUAAUUUGCAGGAAAAACAUGGGCAACCUACCCAGUUGGUAAAAUUUGUAGAUUUUACUGUGUGGAUGUCACAGAAAGAGAAACAAAAUAAUAUUCAGUCACAGGAGUACAAGAACAUGAAACAUCUUAUUAUGUAUGUAUGCCAUUCUCAAACAAUUAUUGUACAAAACAAGAUAGAGAAGAGCUUUAAAAUCCCAAGGAUCCUGCAAAAAGAAAAGUGAAAAUGUUGUCUCAAUUAAUGUAGUAUAGAUAGACAUUUUUCUUUAUUUUAGUAUUAAAUAAUUAUUUAUAAUAUUAAUAGGUAUUAGUUUUAAUAGUAUUAAUAUGUAUUGUAUGAAUAAUUCCCAUCAUAUAACUUCUGGCUAAAGUUACAAAAUAAAUAAGAAUGAAAAAACAUUUAA